AAGUGAUACAAACCCUUAAUAUGGUAGCUCCCAAACUUGCUCCAUUAUAAAUAUCACCAAAGGAGUUUUUGAAAAACAGAGAUGCUGAUGUUCUACUUCAAACCUCCUUAAUCAGAUAUGGGAGGCUCUGCAACAGCAUAUUCUACAAAGAAAAAGAUAAAUGAACAGAAUUCACUCUAAGAUUCACCAUGGAUGUUUACUAGUCAACUUGAUGUCCCAAACCAUCUGCCUAUCUAACACAGCUGAUCUUAAGUUCAUGCUUCACAGCUAUUGGAUGCCCCUUAACCAAGGACUUAGGGCUCAAAUAUUUGAAGAACACUGGAGUCAGGAGACCAGGAUUUCAGAUCUGACUGACACUAACUAGGCUCACCUGGGAGAAACCAGAUGCUCUGUAGGAAAUGCAACGGUCCUGCAAACACCAUGCUAUGGGAAGCCCAAGCCAUGUGCAGAGGCCCUGGAGGAAGAGAUUCAUUGUGUCGAGCAAGAGACCACAUGCAUGAGGAAGCCAUCUUAGAAAUGGAUCCUUCAUCCCACCCAUUUCAGUGUUCCAUGGAAAGCCCAAGGCUCUCAGGAACUGAAGCCCAAAGUGCUUAGUCAUCCAAGAUAUAUAUUACCUUACAGAGGAAGAAACUGGAACAUUUGUUCACACUGCAGAAGAGCCCCUUUCUCUGCUGCCGUUGCUGCCAUCAACAGUAAACACUAGAAGUUUAGGAGCUGAAACCCCAUUGAUUGGCAGACUGCUCUGUCAAGACUGUGGAAUCAAUGGUAGUUUCUCAACAUGUGCUUUGGAGAAGAAGGGAAGACAACUUAUCUGAGGUUCUCUAUAUUCCAGGAGGCCUGAACCUCUGGGAUUGGAUCCCCAGGUGAGCAGCUGACUCAGUUCUCACACCUGCUGCCCUGCCCUCAUUCUGGAGUGACUGUCAGAAGGGGAUUGAGCCUCAGCCACCUGGCCUAGGGCUAGUCCUCCUCUCCAACAACCCAGAUCCUGGAGUUGUGUGCCUAGUUUUGGACUCUCCUUUCCAUCAAAUGACUUUCCCUCUAGAAAGUCCUUUCGUCUCUCCUGCAGGCAGCAUCUGUUGGAUUCACCCUAGUCCAGGAUUAAUCUAUGGCCAGAGGGCCACAUCCGGACCACUACCUGUUUUGGUAAAUAAAAUUUUAUCAGAACGUAGCCAUGCUCAUUGCUUUACAUAUUGUCUGUGACUGCUUUCUCACAGCAGAGUUGAGUACCUUGUGGCCCACAAAGCCUUAAACAUUUAUAUUUGUAUGUUAAUAGAUGUCUGUGCCCUUAAAAAUGCUAUGGCGAUAUUGCUUAUCAAAGUUAAAUGUUCUUGUUUCUCUUGUUCCUGUUUCUCUUCCUCCUAAAAGA
rnacentral:lncRNA from 10 species